CUUCAGUUGUCAAUACUGUCAUUCAUUAUUAUGACUUUUUUGUUAUGUUUAUUUUCACUGUUUUUGCACAUUUCGUGAAUUUCACUAUUUGUAUUUCAGGAUGAAAUGCAAUGAAUUCGAAAUGAGUAAACCUCGUCACUCGAAGAACUUGGAUAAUUUAGACAAAGCUCUUCAAGAUUUGGGCAUGCUAAGUGCUAUUACGGAAGCGCGUCGUGAGUAUUUACGUGAAUCACACACUACUUUGGGAAUGAUGCGGCUAAACACGCGGUUCGUUUCCAACGUCACUGUGGGGUAUUGUAUGCGGAGAUCGACGAAUAAAAACAGGCUGUGCCCUUAUGUUUUGCCCGUCAGACAUAGAACCAAGAGUGAGAACUCUGAAGCGAUUACUGGUGACGUGAAAGACGGUGGGAGCGAAUUCAAAAGCAUACUGGAGCCGUCCACGAGUGGAUUCGGCAAUCACGAGUGUGCAAAGAGUCCCGCAAAGAGGUGUCAAUCUCUGGAAAACCUGAAUCUGUCAUUGGAAUCCCAUUCCAACCCAGAAGUGUCACCCGAUAUGGAUGGUGUGUCAACAAGGAUCCAAAAACUACAAGUUGAUGAAUGACACCAAAAUGUUUUAUCUUUGUCAAUAACAUAGCAAAGAGAUAGUAGAGUAGUUCUCAGUGGAUGUUUGUAAAAAUAUUUUUCAGUGUAUUUGUACCAAUGGAUUUGGACCCUUACUAAUGUAAAUGCGCUUUUUAUUUUUGUUUGUUAUUUUGUUCAUAAGGUUUUAUUUAAUUUUGGGAGCUUCCAUGUGAUUUGUAAUAAUAUUCAUAGUAAUGUAGUGGAAAUAGGAAUUCAUUAGGACUUUGUGCGAUGAUAUACUUAUAUGCUUACUUUUCUAAGUUCAGUUCACACUUCAGUACAAAUGUGAUUAAUCUCUAAUUAUUUCAAGUUAAAUACCUGUUAAUUUAGUUCAUACUUAUUUAAAUCUUAUUUACAGUCAUUUGUUUUAGAGUUUUCCAAUGAAUUGCCAUUAACAGAAGUGUUUGUAAGUUUUAUAAAACAGGAUGUUUUUGUUUGGAAUCAGAGAUUUAUGUUUGGACAGUUAGUAAGGGUAGGUGAGUGUAAAGUUGAUUGUCAAUGUUCCUAGUUCCUUGGCAUAAUACAAAUAGAAUUUGCAUGUGUAACCCAGUUUAACACAAUUUCAGGGCAGCUGUGUGUGUUUGUAAAAUAAGCAAAUUGCUCAAAAUUAUUUAGAUUGGGUACAAAGUAACAUAAUUAAUGAAUUUAUUUUGUAUCUGCACUAAGACAUUGUUGGUGAUGAGUUUGUUAACUGUGAGGAUUACAAUGAUUUUUUAUGGUUACCUAAAAUAAGUACCACAUAAGUGUAUAAUAUUAAGAACAAAUUACCUUGUUUUAACUAAGUCACAGUUGCACUUGAAGCCUAAUCAUGAGGACAUAUUCUUGGUAAAGUACCCUCUACUACCUAUUUAGUUCAAAUCUGUGUACCUACAUAUUUUAAAAAUUACAGUAUUACUUAAAUAUUUUAUUACUUGUUUUUAUUAGGUAUAGUUUGAAAUGUUUGUUUGAAAUUUAAUACAUUAGGAAUUGUUUCCUAUAAUCAGAUUUUAGGUGUGUUUUUUCAUAAUAUUACGAUAUUUUAAACUAAGGCACCGGUUUGUCCACACUAAGACUGUCAUGAGAUCUCAUUAAUUUCAAAUGCAUAGUUAAUUUCGCUUUAAAUUGUUUAAAUUAUUCACAGCUACUCUUGUACACAGUUCACUGCAAAUCUGCUUUUGUGACUUAGCAAAAAAUACUUAUGUUUGUUAAACAUAUUUUGUUAUUUUAUCUUAUUUAAUAAUAACAAAUAUUUGAAAUAAAUAUUGCUUUGAUAAAUUA